rnacentral:piRNA from 1 species
UAGUGAAUCACUCAGUUUUUU